CAGUGCCACCCCUCGGAGAGGGAGUACUGUUGCCACUAUCAAAUGUGACCUUUCAUCAAUGAUUCUUUUCACUUUCACAGCUGAAGAAGCAUGCAUCACUUAAGCUGAAGAAACACACAUCUCUUAAGGUAAGUGUUAGGGUUGGCACUGACAUAAGGGGUAGGGUAAGGCUUAGGUA
rnacentral:lncRNA from 1 species